UGUUUGAUGUUCUAACGUGGACCCGUGAUCCGGGUUGCGGACAGUGUCUGGUGGGUAGUUUGACUGGGGCGGUCUCCUCCUAAAGAGUAACGGAGGAGCACGAAGGUUGGCUAAUCCUGGUCGGACAUCAGGAGGUUAGUGCAAUGGCAUAAGCCAGCUUGACUGCGAGCGUGACGGCGCGAGCAGGUGCGAAAGCAGGUCAUAGUGAUCCGGUGGUUCUGAAUGGAAGGGCCAUCGCUCAACGGAUAAAAGGUACUCCGGGGAUAACAGGCUGAUACCGCCCAAGAGUUCAUAUCGACGGCGGUGUUUGGCACCUCGAUGUCGGCUCAUCACAUCCUGGGGCUGAAGUAGGUCCCAAGGGUAUGGCUGUUCGCCAUUUAAAGUGGUACGCGAGCUGGGUUUAGAACGUCGUGAGACAGUUCGGUCCCUAUCUGCCGUGGGCGCUGGAGAACUGAGGGGGGCUGCUCCUAGUACGAGAGGACCGGAGUGGACGCAUCACUGGUGUUCGGGUUGUCAUGCCAAUGGCACUGCCCGGUAGCUAAAUGCGGAAGAGAUAAGUGCUGAAAGCAUCUAAGCACGAAACUUGCCCCGAGAUGAGUUCUCCCUGAGACUUAGAGUCUCCUGAAGGAACGUUGAAGACG
rnacentral:rRNA from 1 species